GAUCAUGGCUCAGAUUGAACGCUGGCGGCAUGCUUUACACAUGCAAGUCGAACGGCAGCAUAGAGAAGCUUGCUUCUUGGGUGGCGAGUGGCGAACGGGUGAGUAAUAUAUCGGAACGUACCGAGUAAUGGGGGAUAACUAAUCGAAAGAUUAGCUAAUACCGCAUAUUCUCUGAGGAGGAAAGCAGGGGACCUUCGGGCCUUGCGUUAUUCGAGCGGCCGAUAUCUGAUUAG
rnacentral:rRNA from 1 species